UACAGAGGUGGCAAGCGUUGUUCGGAUUUACUGGGCGUAAAGCGCACGUAGGCGGAUCGUUAAGUCGGGGGUGAAAUCCUGGAGCUCAACUCCAGAACUGCCUUCGAUACUGGCGAUCUUGAGUCCGGAAGAGGUGAGUGGAACUCCUAGUGUAGAGGUGGAAUUCGUAGAUAUUAGGAAGAACACCAGUGGCGAAGGCGGCUCACUGGUCCGGUACUGACGCUGAGGUGCGAAAGCGUGGGGAGCAAACAGG
rnacentral:rRNA from 1 species